UACGUAGGUGGCAAGCGUUAUCCGGAUUUACUGGGUGUAAAGGGCGUGUAGGCGGGAAAGCAAGUCAGAUGUGAAAACCACGGGCUCAACCUGUGGCCUGCAUUUGAAACUGUUUUUCUUGAGUACUGGAGAGGCAGACGGAAUUCCUAGUGUAGCGGUGAAAUGCGUAGAUAUUAGGAGGAACACCAGUGGCGAAGGCGGCCUGCUGGACGGUGUACUGACGCUGAGGCUCGAAAGUGCGGGUAUCAAACAGG
rnacentral:rRNA from 1 species